rnacentral:rRNA from 1 species
CAAUAGCGUAUAUUAAAGUUGUUGCAGUUAAAAAGCUCGUAGUUGGAUUUGUGGCGUACGGUGUGUUCCGGGCACUUGUUGUCUGAGUAACCUGCUGUUGCCAUCCUUGGGUGGAACCUGUGUGGCAUUAGGUUGUCGUGCUGGGGAUGCCCAUCAUUUACUGUGAAAAAAUUAGAGUGUUCAAAGCAGGCUUAUGCCGUUGAAUAUAUUAGCAUGGAAUAAUGAGAUAGGACUUUUUUGCUAUUUUGUUGGUUUGCGCAAAGAGGUAAUGAUUAAUAGGGACAGUUGGGGGUAUUCGUAUUCCAUUGUCAGAGGUGAAAUUCUUGGAUUUUUGGAAGACGAACUACUGCGAAAGCAUUUACCAAGGAUGUUUUCAUUAA